UACAGAGGGUGCGAGCGUUAAUCGGAAUUACUGGGCGUAAAGCGUGCGUAGACGGUUAUCUAAGUCGGAUGUGAAAGCCCCGGGCUCAACCUGGGAAUUGCAUUCGAGACUGAAUAGCUAGGGUACGGUAGAGGGAAGUGGAAUUUCCGGUGUAGCGGUGAAAUGCGUAGAUAUCGGAAGGAACAUCAGUGGCGAAAGCGACUUCCUGGACCAGUACCAACGUUCAGGCACGAAAGCGUGGGGAGCAAACAGG
rnacentral:rRNA from 1 species